AUUGAACGCUGGCGGCAGGCCUAACACAUGCAAGUCGAGCGGAUGAAGGGAGCUUGCUCCUGGAUUCAGCGGCGGACGGGUGAGUAAUGCCUAGGAAUCUGCCUGGUAGUGGGGGAUAACGUCCGGAAACGGGCGCUAAUACCGCAUACGUCCUGAGGGAGAAAGUGGGGAACCUUGGAACUCACCGUAACAGGAUAAGCCUAGGUCGGAUUAGCUAGUUGGUGGGGUAAAGGCCUACCAAGGCGACGAUCCGUAACUGGUCUGAGAGGAUGAUCAGUCACACUGGAACUGAGACACGGUCCAGACUCCUACGGGAGGCAGCAGUGGGGAAUAUUGGACAAUGGGCGAAAGCCUGAUCCAGCCAUGCCGCGUGUGUGAAGAAGGUCUUCGGAUUGUAAAGCACUUUAAGUUGGGAGGAAGGGCAGUAAGUUAAUACCUUGCUGUUUUGACGUUACCAACAGAAUAAGCACCGGCUAACUUCGUG
rnacentral:rRNA from 1 species